GGAUAAUUAAACACAAAAGCCCGACUAAAACCCAUUUCUCCACUUGGCCGUAAGCGAGAACAGCAAAGUUGGCUGAAUGGAAUUGUGAGAAAAUUGGUUAUUAGAUAAAGCUUUGGUCUUUGCACAUUGAUAUUGCCCAUGACCUCCAAAGCUCCCCACCCUGAUUCAACUGAUGCAUUGAAGUCUAAAAUGUCUGUUCAAAAGGAUCCAGAUAAAUUCUUCGUGUCCAUCAGUGAAGGAGAGAAAAAGCCUUUUAAUUUUUUGCGCGCUCUAUAUGAUGGAUGCAUUGCUGGAGGUGUUGCUGGUGUCGUUGUAGAAACGGCUUUAUACCCCAUUGAUACCAUCAAAACUCGACUACAGGUUGCUCGUGAUGGAGGGAAAAUUGUUUUCAAGGGUUUGUACUCUGGAUUGUCUGGAAAUCUUGUUGGUGUCUUGCCAGCUUCAGCAAUUUUUAUUGGUGUGUAUGAACCUACAAAGCAGCAAUUGCUAAAGUCUUUGCCUGAGAAUCUCAGUGCUGUGGCUCAUUUUGCUGCAGGCGCUAUUGGUGGCAUUGCUUCUUCUAUUGUUCGUGUUCCAACUGAGGUUGUUAAGCAAAGGAUGCAAAUUGGGCAAUUUAGAUCAGCCCCGGACGCUGUUCGUCUUAUUGUUGCAAAUGAGGGUUUUAAAGGUCUUUUUGCGGGAUAUGGAUCUUUCUUAUUACGAGAUUUACCAUUUGAUGCUAUAGAAUUAUGCAUUUACGAGCAGCUGCGUAUUGGGUAUAAACUAGCGGCAAAAAGAGAUCCUAAUGAUCCGGAGAAUGCUAUGCUUGGGGCAGUGGCUGGUGCCAUAACUGGAGCAGUCACAACUCCUCUUGAUGUAGUAAAGACCAGGUUGAUGGUUCAGGUAGAGAGAAAUUUUUGUCUUAUUAUUUGAAGGAAAUUUUGGGAGGGGUCCAAAAGGGAACUCCUGAUUUCUUCUAAAGGGAUCACAAAACCAUUACAAAGGCAUUAGUGAUUGUGUGAGGACAAUAGUUAAAGAAGAAGGAACUCAUGCUCUUUUUAAGGGUAUUGGGCCUAGAGUUUUGUGGAUAGGAGUUGGAGGUUCAAUAUUUUUUUGUGUUCUCGAGAAGACUAAGCAAAUUCUUGCUCAGAGGAGGCACCCCAAAGCUGAGAUUCAGAAGUGAGUUUCUUCUAGGCAGGGUCAAGCUGAUGACGUUGCUAUGUACAUUUAAUUUAAGAGCAAUGAUCUUUGGACACCCACUUUUUUCAAACAUCUAAUUAAAAUAUUGAUUAUCUCUCUUUAUUUCUUUCUAUCAUAUCACAUCACCUGUCAUACUUAUAUCUUUUUUACUAGGCAUCAAAUAACAUUUGGGGUGUCCAGAAAUCAUUUUUAUUAAUUUAAUUUCAUGAUUUACAUUGA